UCCAGAAGUGCUAUGACCGAACCCGCAACGGGACGGUAGGUCCCAAGGAGUGAACGGUAACUGGGGUG
rnacentral:rRNA from 1 species